CCCGGGGUGAUCUCGACCAUCGAUGGGAUUGCACGGAGGUUUUUUUUUCUAGCCAUAUAUGGCUGCUUAGGUGUCUAUUAAGAGUCUAGGAGCAUAUUUCGUAGAAUAUGCUGCCGUUGGAGUCUAUAUAUAUGUAAACUGCCCUUUGGGCUUAA